GGGCUCGCAGGCGGUUUCUUAAGUCUGAUGUGAAAGCCCCCGGCUCAACCGGGGAGGGUCAUUGGAAACUGGGGAACUUGAGUGCAGAAGAGGAGAGUGGAAUUCCACGUGUAGCGGUGAAAUGCGUAGAGAUGUGGAGGAACACCAGUGGCGAAGGCGACUCUCUGGUCUGUAACUGACGCUGAGGAGCGAAAGCGUGGGGAGCGAACAGGAUUAGAUACCCUGGUAGUCCACGCCGUAAACGAUGAGUGCUAAGUGUUAGGGGGUUUCCGCCCCUUAGUGCUGCAGCUAACGCAUUAAGCACUCCGCCUGGGGAGUACGGUCGCAAGACUGAAACUCAAAGGAAUUGACGGGGGCCCGCACAAGCGGUGGAGCAUGUGGUUUAAUUCGAAGCAACGCGAAGAACCUUACCAGGUCUUGACAUCCUCUGACAAUCCUAGAGAUAGGACGUCCCCUUCGGGGGCAGAGUGACAGGUGGUGCAUGGUUGUCGUCAGCUCGUGUCGUGAGAUGUUGGGUUAAGUCCCGCAACGAGCGCAACCCUUGAUCUUAGUUGCCAGCAUUCAGUUGGGCACUCGUAGGUGACUGCCGGUGACAAACCGGAGGAAAGUGGGGAUGACGUCAAAUCAUCAUGGCCCUUAUGACCUGGGCUACACACGUGCUACAAUGGACAGA
rnacentral:rRNA from 1 species